rnacentral:rRNA from 1 species
AACAUGACUCUUGGCAGCGGAUAUAUCAACUCUCGCCACAAUAAAGAAUGUAGCGAAAUGUGAAACUUAGUGUGAAUUGCAGAAUCCCGUGAAUCAUCGAGUCUUUGAACGCAAGUUGCGCCCAAGGCUCCGGUCGAGGGCACAUCUGCUUGGGCGUCGCAC